rnacentral:lncRNA from 1 species
CCUGGGACCAUUGGGGACACCCUGGGGGCAUUGGGGACACCCUGGAGACACCCUGGGGACACCUGGGGACACCCUGGGGACACCCUGGGAUCACUGGGGACACUGUGGGGGCAUUGGGGACACCCUGGGGACACUGGAGGACAGUGGAGGGUCAGUCCCCCAAUCCCAAUGUCCCCUGGAUCCCCCAAUGUCCCCAAUGUCCCCUGAUGUCCCCAAUGUCCCCAAUGUCCCCUGAUGUCCCCUGAUCCCCCAAUGUCCCUGAUGUCCCCAAUGUCCCCAAUGUCCCCUGCUGUCCCUGCUGUCCCCAGGGCCCCGAGUUCGUGCGCAAACACAUCUUUAACAAGCACGGGGACAAGAUGGGGCUGUGUGACCCCGAUGUCCCCAAUGUCCCCCAAUGUCCCCUGAUGUCCCCUGAUCCCCCAAUGUCCCUGCUGUCCCUGAUGUCCCCUGCUGUCCCUGCUGUCCCCAGGGCCCCGAGUUCGUGCGCAAACACAUCUUUAACAAGCACGGGGACAAGAUGGGCGCCGUGCGCAAGGAGGUUUUGUUCUUCAACAAUUUCCUGAUGGACCCCAAGCGCCCGGCCCUGCCCGAGGGCGGCAAAGGCGGCCCCGCCGCGGGCCCCAACGCCGGUCAGUGUCACCUGGCUGUCACCUGGGUCACCUUCUGUGUCAGCUGUGUCACCUCCUGUGUCAUCUGUGUCAGCUGUGUCAGCUGUGUCACCUCCUGUGUCAUCUGUGUCAGCUGUGUCAGCUGGGUCAGCUCUGUGUCACCUCCUGUGUCAUCUGUGUCACCUCCUGUGUCAUCUGUGUCAGCUCUGUGUCACCUCCUGUGUGUCACCUGGGUCACCUGUGUCACCUGUGUCAGCUCUGUGUCACCUGGCUGUCACCUGGGUCACCUGGGUCACCUCCUGUGUCAUCUGUGUCAGCUGUGUCAGCUGUGUCAGCUCUGUGUCACCUCCUGUGUCAGCUGUGUGUCACCUCCUGUGUGUCACCUGGCUGUCACCUGGGUGUCACCUGGGUGUCACCUCCUGUGUCACCUGUGUCAGCCAUGCCACCCUCAUUGUUCCUUGGGGACACCUUGGUGACCCCUGAAUGACCCCUGAGUGACCCCUGAGUGACCCCUGAGUGACCCCUGAAUGACCCCUGAGUGACCCCUGU